AUUUAUAUAGUUUAAAUUAAAACAUUACAUUUUCAUUGUAAAAAUAAAAAAAAAUUUUUAUAAAUA
rnacentral:tRNA from 1 species